GGGAAAUAAAAAAUAAGAAAGAAAGGGUGGAAAAUGAAGGAUAUUUUCAUAAAAGAAAUAGUGCUGUCCGCCUCUGUGCCGUAUUUACAUCAUUAUUUACUUUUAUUGUGAAGAAUGGUAGUUUUUCUUGCUGCUAACUUUUGUCUUCAUA
rnacentral:ribozyme from 1 species